GUCAUUUUUUUGUUUGUGUUUUUUUUUUUUUUUUUUUGCUUUUGGUUUUUAGGGCUGUAUUCAGGCUGGGGUCAAAGCAGAGCUGUAGCUGCCGGCCUACACCACAGCCACAGCCACACAGGAUCCAAGCCGCAUCUGCAACCUGCACCACAGCUCACAGCAACGCCGGAUCCUUCACCCACUGAGCAAGGCCAGGCAUGGAGCCGAAUCCUCAAGGAUACAAGUGGGGUUCAUCACCCCUGAGCAUGAUGGGAACUCCCGUUGUUACGCUUUUCAUUCGUUUAUCCUGCCCCCUGUUUGGGAGAGGACGACAGGUGGUGAACGCAUCGUUGGAGGACAGGUAAAAAGAGCGAAUUUCAGCACACACCCUGCCUGGGCCGCGGGCUUUCGCGAUAAAAUAACAAUGAUCACGACAAGGACUGGACCUUGCAAAUCCGGACGUUCACGGCGGGAAACACUGGACGUGCUCAUGGCUCUGAAAAGGCAGCAACCUGACUUGAGUAAUUUCGUUCUCUUGGCUGUUUGGGGGGAGGAGGCUUUCAGGUGCUGCUUAUGACGUGUCUACAGAUCCCUUUUUACAUAAGUCCUUGCCACGAACAUUUGAAAGAAUCUCAAAGCUGCAGAAUAAAGUGAUCAAACGCCGUCA
rnacentral:lncRNA from 1 species